AGACACAGAAUCUGAAGCAGGCUCCAGGCUCUAGAGCGGUCAGCCCAGAGCCUGAUGCGGGGCUCGAACUCAUCAACCAUGAGAUCGUGACCUGAUCUGAAAAUGGACGCCUAACGACUGAGCCGCUCUCAGCGCCCCUUCCUUUCUUGCUUUUAAAGGAAGCAUGGCUGAGCUGGUGACAGGAACAUAGUUUCUUACCAUGUCUUCUAACCCUGACUCAUGGCGCCUCUUUCUGCCUCCAUGUUGUCACCCUUCCUUUCGGCUCAGAAAGGGAGCCGAGGGGACUGCCCCAGCACAGGUUUCUGGCUUCAAAACAGAAGGACGGAAGUGCCUACCCAAAGGAAACCGUUAGGCCCAGAUAGCAUCGCAGUCACCCAAGAAAAUAUGGAAGUUCUCAAUGAAUGACAGAGAGACAUUAAAAGGACACCGAAGCCCGCUUACAGGAGUAUCGGCUUAGGUCACGACCUCAUGGUCGUGAGUUCGAGCCCCACGCCGGGUUCUGUGCUGAGCAUACAGCCUGCUUGGGAUUCUCUCUCUUCCC